rnacentral:rRNA from 1 species
UGGGGAAUCUUCCGCAAUGGACGAAAGUCUGACGGAGCAACGCCGCGUGAGUGAAGAGGGUUUUCGGAUCGUAAAACUCUGUCUUUUGGGGCGAACGUGAGUAUGGUGAACAAUCAUAGUCAGUGACGGUACCAAAGGAGGAAGCCACGGCUAACUACGUGCCAGCAGCCGCGGUAAUACGUAGGUGGCAAGCGUUGUCCGGAAUUAUUGGGCGUAAAGAGCGCGUAGGCGGGAUAGUCAGUCUGUUGUAAAAGUGCGGGGCUCAACCCCGUGAUCGCAAUGGAAACAGCUAUUCUUGAGUGCAGGAGAGGAAAGUGGAAUUCCCAGUGUAGCGGUGAAAUGCGUAGAUAUUGGGAGGAACACCAGUGGCGAAGGCGACUUUCUGGACUGUGUCUGACGCUGAGGCGCGAAAGCCAGGGGAGCGAACGGGAUUAGAUACCCCGGUAGUCCUGGCCGUAAAACGAUGGGUACUAGGUGUGGGAGGUAUCGACCCCUUCCGUGCCGGAGUUAACGCAAUAAGUACCCCGCCUGGGGAGUACGGUCGCAAGACUGAAACUCAAAUGAAUUGAC